rnacentral:rRNA from 1 species
GUCUACGGCCAUGCCACCCUGAACGUCUGAUCUUUGAAGCUAAGCAGGGUUGGGCCUGGUUAGUACUUGGGUAGGAGACCACAUAGGAAGACCAGGUGCUGUAGGCA